AGAACAGUGGAACUUUGGAUG
rnacentral:misc_RNA from 1 species